rnacentral:ncRNA from 1 species
CUUGUUUUAUUUAUUAUAACGUUAUUUUAUAUGUGAAUUUUUGUGUUUAAAGUUCUAAAUGAAUUUAAAAUUUAUUUUGCAGUAGAAAGAAUUAUUGUUAUUAAGUUAAUUUAGAUUUAGUAAAUGUUUAUUGAAUUGGAUAAAUCUGUGCCAGCAUCCGCGGUUAUACAGUAUAUUCAAAUAAAUAUUAUUGGUUUAGUAUAAUAAUUUUUAUUUAUUAUUUAUUAAUAUAAUAUUUUGAGGUGAAAUAUUAAAUAUUAUUUUUUUUAUGAAUUUAUAAGAUGUUAUGAAAUUAUUUAUAUAAACUAGGAUUAGAUACCCUAUUAUUUUUAAUGUAAAAUUUUAAACCUGAGUAGUAAUAGAUAAAAUCUUUAAACUUAAAGAAUUUGGCGGUGUUAUAGUCUAUUUAGAGGAAUCUGUUAUGUAAUCGAUAUUCCGCGUUGAACCUUAUUUAUAUUAUUUCUUGUAUAUCGCUGUUUUGUGAAGAUAUUUUUAGAUAAUUUUCUUAAUAUUUAAUUAAAUAGAAUUUCAAGUCAAGGUGCAGUAAUAUAUAAAGCUAUAAAUGGAUUACAAUAAAUUUUAUUUAAAUGGAUUUUUUAAUGUAAGUUAUUUAUGAAGGUGGAUUUAAUAGUAAUUUGUUGAAGAUUGUUCAUUUGAUUUAAAGCUCUAUAAUAUGUACAUAUCGCCCGUCACUCUCGUUAAUUAAGAUGAGAUAAGUCGUAACAUAGUAGAUGUAUCGGAAGGUGUAUCUAGAAAGUUAAUUUUAUU